rnacentral:rRNA from 1 species
GACGAACGCUGGCGGCGUGCUUAACACAUGCAAGUCGAACGGGCCUUGUCCCCUUUUUUUUGGGGGUGGGGUUAGUGGCGAACGGGUGAGUAACACGUGAGUAACCUGCCCCUCACUUCUGGAUAACCGCUUGAAAGGGUGGCUAAUACGGGGUGUUCUGGCCUGCUCGCAUGGGUGGGUUUGGAAAGAUUCGACCGGUUUUGGUUGUUUUGGUGGGGGAUGGGCUCGCGGCCUAUCAGCUUGUUGGUGGGGUGAUGGCCUGCCAAGGCUUUGACGGGUAGCCGGCCUGAGAGGGUGGGCGGUCACACUGGGACUGAGACACGGCCCAGACUCCUACGGGAGGCAGCAGUGGGGAAUAUUGCACAAUGGGCGCAAGCCUGAUGCAGCGACGCCGCGUGAGGGAUGGAGGCCUUCGGGUUGUGAACCUCUUUCGCCAGUGAAGAAGGUCCUGCUCUUUGUGGUGGGGUUGACGAUAGCUGGGUUAAUGAAGCGCCGGCUAACUACGUG